rnacentral:rRNA from 1 species
GACGAACGCUGGCGGCGCGCUUAACACAUGCAAGUCGAGCGAGAACCAGGGCUUCGGCCCUGGGGACAGCGGCGAACGGGUGAGUAACACGUGGGUAAUCUGCCCUCGGCACCGGAAUAGCCCGGGGAAACCCGGAUUAAUGCCGGAUGGCCCCUUCACCUCGCGAGGUGUCGGGAAAAGGUAGCUUCGGCCUCUGGCCGAGGAUGAGCCCGCGGCGGAUUAGCUUGUCGGCGGGGUAACGGCCCACCAAGGCGACGAUCCGUAGCUGGUCUGAGAGGACGAUCAGCCACACUGGGACUGAGACACGGCCCAGACUCCUACGGGAGGCAGCAGUGGGGAAUCUUGCGCAAUGGGCGAAAGCCUGACGCAGCGACGCCGCGUGAGGGAAGAAGGCCUUCGGGUUGUAAACUUCUUUCAGGAGGGACGAAGCUACUCGGGUGAAUAGCCCAGAGGGUGACGGUACCUCCAGAAGAAGCCCCGGCUAACUACGUGCCAGCCGCCGCCGUAA